UCCUUUAGAGAUGAGGUCCCACAGAGGUC
rnacentral:sRNA from 1 species